GGUUCCCUCAGGCCCCAGGUCCUCCUCCAAGAUCGCCCUGUCGCCCGCGGCCCGCCUGCCGUCUCUCUCCAAGAGAAAGCGACGCGAAUAGCAUCUGAUCUUCCGCGGCGCGCCCAAGAUCUCCCCUGCUGUCGCGUCCGGCCCUCGGCGCCCUUCCCGUCUCCUGUUCGCUGCUGCUGGGUAUAUUAGCCGCGCGCUCACGCUUGCGGAACGGAGGGUGUUCAUGGCGGGCCAUGAGCAUCGCGCCCAGCGCUUGCUUCAUGGCUGUCGAGGGGAAUGACGUCCGGUCCGAAGACGCUUGCGAUGCGAUGCGGCGGCGAGGCACCACGCGCGGCUUCGCUUCGGACCAGGCUUCAUUCCCCAUGACUCAUGGAAUGGCAGCGGCAGCGAUCCCGCGAGCGCGUCGUCGUGAGCUCGUCGGAAGCCUCGGGGCCUCCGCGACGUCGACGAACACGAGCGUGCGAGUGGAGCAGCAGGGAAGAUCAGAUGGACCCACUCACCUGAGCCGACGUCGGCAAAAGAGCAUUGCCGCAGCUACAGGCGAGCCAUGUCCCGCAAUUGAAGGUUAGCAAGUUGCUGCUUGGAUUUAAAUAUUGAGUUUGAGUUAACCAGGGAAAAAGAAGGCACUAGCAGUGGUAUUCACCUCAUCUGCCUGAUUUUCAAGCUGAUAUUGCAGCUGAUUUUCAGACUUCAGAGCAGGGUUCCAAACCCGUGCAAGACCAAAAGCACAAGUCGUGCUGUAACUAGACCACCCUAACCAAGGACCUGAACACUGCAAGUGCAAUCACAUUACGAAGAACCGGAAAAAAAAUAUCGACGAAGGAUGUCUUCUAUUUUAUCUGGUGCUAACCUGGAGUCUGCAAUGAACACUGACGCUGCACUGGAGAACUACUCUGUUACUGAAGAUGAUAUAAUCAGGCUAAAUCAGUGGCAUAUGCUUCCUGUACUUGAUUUCGAGCAGAUGCUGCAACCUGCAGCCGCUGGCUCAACAUAGAACAAAACACUAGUUUCAUCCCUGCUAAAAGUAAUAAAGAAGAUAAAGGUUCCAUAUCAAGCAGGAUCUUCGUGAAUGAAAUAUAUUGAAUUAGCUAGCAAAAGUUCC